UACGAAGGGGGCUAGCGUUGUUCGGAAUUACUGGGCGUAAAGGGCGCGUAGGCGGUCUGAUAAGUUAGGUGUGAAAUUCCCGGGCUUAACCUGGGCGCUGCACUUAAUACUGUUGGGCUUGAAUUCGGGAGAGGAUAGUGGAAUUCCCAGUGUAGAGGUGAAAUUCGUAGAUAUUGGGAAGAACACCAGUGGCGAAGGCGACUAUCUGGACCGACAUUGACGCUGAGGCGCGAAAGCCAGGGGAGCAAACGGG
rnacentral:rRNA from 1 species